UAAAUAAGUUCUCUGGAAAGGGACGACAAAGAGGGUGAGAUCCCCGUUUUUGGCCGGAGCAUAAUCUUGCGUUUGCUUGGGAAUGAAGAGUCAGGUUGUUUGGUAUUGCAGCCUAAAGUUGGAGGUAAAUCUCUCCUAAAGCUAAAUAUUGACGAAAGACCGAUAGCGAACAAGUACCGUGAGGGAAAGAUGAAAAGCACCUUGAAAAGGGGGUCAAAAAGUACGUGAAAUUGCUGAAAGGGAACCGUAUGAAAUCAGCUUGGCCUUAUAGUCAUCAGCCUGAACUUUGGUUUGGGUGCACUGGCUAUUAGGUACAGCCUAGGACAAUUUUGUUUGGAGGAAAAAAUCAGGGGAAAUGUGGCCUCGACUUUUUGUGGAGGUGUUAUAGUCCUUUGAAAAAUACUCUGGGCGGGAUUGAGGAACGCAGCAAGCCAUUUGGGAUGAACUGGGGGUGCUUAUUCGUGUAGGGGAGGAAAUUUCUAUUCAGGUAGUGUUCUGUCCUGCAUGGGUAACUCGCCCACUUUUUCUUUUUCUUGCUUAGGUCGUAGGCAUAAUGAUUUUAUAUGACCCGUCUUGAAACACGGACCAAGGAGUCCACCAUGAUUGCGAGUCUUUGGGCGUAGAAACCCAUGGGCGAAAGGAAACUGACCAAGAUAUGAAGGCCUCACGGCUGGCAAUAUCCUCCAGCGAAGACGUUUUAUACUGAAUUGACUGAGAGAAAGCAAUUAUGAUGGGACCCGAAAGAUGGUGAACUAUACUUGAAUAGGGUGAAGCCAGAGGAAACUCUGGUGGAAGCUCGUAGCGAUUCUGACGUGCAAAUCGAUCGUCAAAUUUGAGUAUAGGGGCGAAAGACUAAUCGAACC
rnacentral:rRNA from 1 species